rnacentral:rRNA from 1 species
CCCUUAGAUGUCCUGGGCCGCACGCGCGCUACACUGAGUGUCUGAGAUACGAGUCUGCCUGGUCCGGCAAGGUCUAGGUAAUCGCUAAAAGACACUUCAUGCUUGGGAUAGAUUAUUGCAAAUAUUAAUCUUGAACGAGGAAUUCCUAGUAAGCGCAAGUCAACAGCUUGCGUUGAUUACGUCCCUGCCCUUUGUACACACCGCCCGUCGCUACUACUGAUUGGAUGUUUAAGCGAGGUUCUCGAACUGCUAGCGACUUAGCUUCGGUGAGGUCGCAGUGUGGGAAGUGAACCUAGCUUUGGUGUCUAGAGGAAGUAAAAGUCGUAACA